AUGAACGGAUGUAGCGCCACUGCUGUUCUUCGUUGAGAAAAUUAUAAACAGCUGAUCAGCUGAACGCCAGAACGUAAUAACAACAUAGAACGGCUGGCUAUGUCCCUCCCACCAACAGUAGCUCGCGCCCCCGCGAACGUUUUGGUUGUAAGUGAUGGGCGUGACGCUCGGAUAGCGAGGCCAACUGCCAAGACCAAGCCUUAAGUUAUCGUUGCUGACGCAGCAGUUGAAAAGUCUGCAGGGAUGGGUAGUUCGUGAAUUGGCUCUUUUAAGUGAACUCAUAGACAAAUAUACUAUAAACUGAACUGAACGAGCUGAAUCAGUGUGCCAUAGUAAUAUGACUCAAUGACUUAGCGUGGCUACUAAGAAUUGAAUUUAGUUUAAAACGUCUUAUCAAUAAAUUCUGAAUCAUGUGAAUUAUGAUUUGAUUCUUUAUCAAGGUUUAUCAUUUUUUAUAGGUUAUUUAAUAUUUUAUUUGUUAAUAACUCUUCAUGAUCCAGUGAUAACUGAUAUAACAUAUUACCAUUAGUGUUAUGUGAAUUUGUACAAAUUGUAACCUAAAUAUAAUUAAAUUUAUAUUUCAUUUCAAAAUGUGAAGUCUACAUUAACUCGUCACGGAUGAGUGUGAUUAUUACUUAAAAGUUAUAACUUUUAAAUUGAGAUUAAUAAUUGAUUUUUUAAAUUAUCAUUUUCAAUUAUAAUUAGAUAAAAAAAAUUUGAGAUGGAAUUUCUGAAGACAAAGUGGUUUGGCAAUUUAUGAGAUUAGAUGUUGAAACAGUUGUACUCUAAAAAUAUAUAUGUUUACUAAUUAGUAAUAUAAAUAUUUACUUAUUUUUCUACUGUAUGUAUAAAUUAAUUAAUAAUAAUCAAAUAUUAAAUAUGAAAACGAUUAUAUGUUUUUUAAUUGAAAUUGUAACAUAUAUAUAUAUAUAUAUAUGGUAGUCAGAUAUAAGAAUAUGUCAAUAGUACACAUUAAAAUGAAACUUUUCAUCAUAAAAAAAUCUUUUUGGUAAAUAUUCUAAUUUAUAUAUUGAUUAAGAGAGGUUAAAUUAUUAACUGUGUGUAUCUUUUUGAUGGAUUUUGGGUGACAUUUAUAAAUGAUGAAUUUACAAUUAUAAAAUAAGCUAUAUCCUUUUAUUAAUAAUUAAAGGAAAGUAUAAAUAUUUGAAUUAAUUUUUAAAAGUGAAAAAUGAUUUAAUUGUUUGCUUAUUAAAAUAACAAUUAAUAUCUAUAGUAAUGUGCCUUAUUGUUGACUGUUAUGAUGUGACUAAUUGCUUUGUUAAUAAUUGUAAAAAAAAAUACAGUUAGGUAAUAUUAUUAACUAGGUGCAUGCCCAGUAAGAAAAGCUUUAAGUAGGUAUACUGUACGAAAUAUACAAUAAGUCUGAUAAAGAAUUAAAAAAUAACUCAAUAAAAAUGAAAAAUUUACUAACAUGCUUUUAGAAUUUUACAUGUAUUUAACACUGUUUUUAAUUUAAAGAAGUAUUCUCAUAUGAAAAAAAAUAUAUCUGGUAACCAUAAUUAAUUAUGCAUAUAAUAUAAUGAAUUUUUUUUAGCAAAAUUAAUCUGCCUAUAAUAGCACCUAUCUAUAGGUUUAACUUACAGAAGUAGAAGUUGAUGAACCAAUACCUGGGUCAUCAAUCAUCUCUUCUAUUACACGAGACAUUCUAUUUAAAAAAAUUGCUAAAGGAUUCUUAGAUUUAAUAUGUCUAACUAAAUUUGAAGUUGAAGAAUGAUUAUUUUUUAAUUUUAUAUGACAACGUCUACACUUUACAUGAAUAUUAUCUGCAUCGAGUUGAAAAAAAUCCAUUUAAUAUUAAAUAAAAAUAAUAAAUAUUUUAAUAUGAAAUAAAAUACCUUUGUAAAUUAUAUAAAGUGUUUCACAAUUUUCGAUUUUGUGCACAAGAUUUACUGUGAUCACAAGAAACAGCAUUGAUACAAUGAGUAAAAUUUUAAAUAAAUGAGACUAAAUUAUACAUAAUAUAUCAGUUUUUAGAACAAUAUUCAUUCAAGAAGAGACCUGUAAUUGCACGCAAGCAAAUUUUGAAAUGUAUGAAAGAAAUCUUUUAUUCUCACCGCAUACACCAAACAUUGAUGUUGCAGAGAGGUCACGAUUGAGAUCUAAAUAUUGUCCUUAUCAAAGAUGACCGACGACACGUGUAAGUAUGACUGACGCCAGACUUCCGUGACUUUUUACUGUAUUCGCUUUAUAACGCGUCUUAAACAAGUACUCUUUCAACCAUCACUUUUUCUCGGCGCACUUAUGAGUAAUCAUCUUUUUUGAAAAUUAUGGAGAGCUCAAAUUUUAAACAGGUAAAUAGUAAAAUUUACUCUUAAUUCUUUUAAAACCUUAGUCAACUAUUCAUCCUAGUAAAGAUCACCAUUCUCAAAUUUACAAGUACAGCACUUGAUUUAUACAUAAAGUCUAUUAGCAUACAGAGCGUAUAUGGAAUGUAGGGGAACUUGCGUAAAUUUAAAACUUCCGAACAAAUUUUGGUCAAAUUGCCCUAAUUUAAUGUAAAUGCUCCAGGACCUAAUGACCUUCAAGUACUUUGUGUACUUUAAUACAAGAUAUGAAAUAACUUUCGGAAGUUAAAUGAGAACCUAUUAUUUUUUGUUAUUAUUAAACAGAAAAUGGUCUAAAUAAAUAAAAUUAUGACUAGUCGAUAACCAGUUUUAUAUUCUUAAUUUUUGAGAUAUUAGCAUUUAAAGAUUUAUUAAAGUUGAGGAGCGGGGUAGUAUUUAGCGACUCCUAGUUUUACCAUGACGCAUANUUAACAAAUUUUCCAUGUUGAGUUGCCCACUCAUCUAUAACUAAAAAAGUAAUAAUACAAUACAGAUUAUCCACUGGUCAACUUCAAUUUGACCAUUUCCCAAUAAAAAAUAAUUGGUCCCCAUUUAACUUUCGCAAUUUACCCCUAACAUAAGCCCUUAAAAAUAAUUUUAUUUUAUAAUAAAUACAAUAUUUAGUAUGAUUUAUAAAAAUAAAUCAAAUUUUAAUCUGUAAUUUUGUCAAAAAAUUCAACGAAAAAAUGGGGGCAAGUAUACUUAAUAAAUCAAACUGUUUAUAAUGUAUAUA